GUAUUUCCGCCGGCGCGAAACGAGCGUAGCUUCCUUGUCGUGUGGCCUCAGUCCUUCGCCGUCCCUCGCCGUCCUUCGCCAUCGCACGCCACCGCACCCCAUCUCUCGAAAUCUGCAGACAUCUUGAUUUUUCCCACGCUGUCUGUCAGGUCUCCGCCGCCACUCGACGCCAGGGCGCCGGGUGAGUCCACAGCAGGGCGCAUGGUCGGCUCCACUCUCACCAUCGGGGGAAACUGAGGCCCCGGGGAAGGCGGCCAGAGAGGUCAGGCCCUGUCCUUGGUGCAGUGUCUCGUCCUCUUUGCCGGAGUGAGCCCCCCAGGAUUCGCGUGUCCUCGGGAAAGACACUGGCAGGCCUUGUGGGCUGUGCUGCACCUCGGACGGCUUCGCACCAGCCAGCGCCCUCUCUCUCCUGCAGCACUCUGAUCUGCACCCCCUGAGGGGCUUCCACUGUCCGCGGGGUGAGAAUGCCCCUGGGAGUGUCACAUGACUGCCGCCCCAUGUGUGUGAGAGGCGUCCUCUGGGAGAGCAUGGAUCCUGAGGUCCCAGGAUUGUCAGCUGACCUCUGUCCUGUGUGCCCAGUGGCCCCAGGUGACGUGUCUUCAAGAAGAGGCUGAGCUGCGGUGCUUGUAAGGGUCUCAUUCUGUCACCCAGGCUGGAGUGCAGUGGUGCAAUGAUGGCUCACUGCAGCCUCGACCUGGGCUCAAGUGAUCCUCCACCUCAGCUUCCUGAGUAGCUGGGACCACAGAGUCAUGUGCUGUUCCUGGGGCUUGGAUGAUGUAGGGGAAGCAAGGUGAAAGUGGUAUCCCGUGGUUCCACGUUCUGUCCUGCUGUGGGGCUGUCCCUCACAUGCUUUCAGUGGCUGUUGCAGAGGAAGAGCCUCCGGAAAUCUGCGUGGGUCUCAGCCUUAGAUCCAAGGACAGUCCAAGGAAGUCCUAAGACCAUGGAGUUGGUGAUCUGGGAUCUGGGUUUGCUGAUAUUUCUCACCGUGAAUCUCUUGGUGGUGUUUGUGGGCACGAGAGGGGCAGAGAAUGGAGAGUGAGGCUACCACAUGAAGCGUCACCAGAGCUGCUCCCUGCUGCCUGCUCAGAGCACCCCGGAUCCACUGUUCAAUCUGCACAAGAUUCGGGGUCCAGACAUGGGAGACUUCAGCUGCCUCAGAGGACCGUGGACAGGGAAGGCCAGCCUCGCAUCCCUCUGUCCAUGCCUGGAAUGACUUUAAUAACCAAGAGUUUUAUUUUUGAAUUUGUAGCUGUCGUUCACUUUUUACCCACCCAUUCAAUAAACCUUACAGAAUUGCUCCA
rnacentral:lncRNA from 1 species